AUGAAAAAAGAAAAAAGGACGACCGGACAGCCUAGUCUUGCCGUUGGUGUAGUGUCAACACGUAGAGUGGAGCCUCUGUUUCCCGCACGUGGGAGGGAGGCUUCGCCGGCCCAUCACCGCUGCCCACGCAAGGCACCUUCUUCACUUGAGCGUUCCUUGGAAUUUCCUGGAGAAGAGCUGCUCCAGCCCCCGCCCCCGCCCCCACCCCCCGCCCCGGGUUUCGGCCGAAUCGAUCCCAGGAAACGAAUCACUGCCUACCACACCAAUUCCCCCGCAGAUCCUCCGCGAUUGAUGAGUAUUCCUCCCCCACUCUCUUGGUGGAGCGACUUGGAUUUGGAUGCGAGGGAGCUCCCUUCUCUCCGAUCUCCCCGCCCCCCGUAA
rnacentral:rRNA from 1 species